UCUAAAUGGAUGGGUGUGACAGGAAUGUGAAUAUUCAGGUCCUGGGGUGAGUUCAAGCAAUUGUUAAAGCUCACUCCAAAGUUGUAAGAGCAAUUCUAUUUAAAUGUGGGUGGAAAACUAGGUUACUUUUACACUGAAUAAAGCUAUGAAAUACUGCUGUCUUUUUAAGUGCUACAGGGAAUGGAUGCCAGCAUGGUAUCCCAGGGAAUGGUAAAUUCUUAAUGUGCAGAAUUGGAAAGCACAUCUUUUCUAAAGGUUGGGGGGAGUGAUAUGAAAGAUUGAAAAGCUUUAAAAGACACAGCUGCAAAGCCAGCUACUGUGUAUCCUUGAGAUGUUCCUACAAGGACUCUGUGAUGUACAAUGCCAAAGGAAGAGAGAUCUAUGGAGUCUGUUGAGACAAGAAAGAACAGCACUGGGCACAGAACAGCAGUGGACUGUCAAGCUCGUGGAUGGAUUAUCAAUAACUGAACAAAGAAACGUCCCUCCCGCUCACAAAAGGAACACAGCAAAGAAGGGAUCUCACAAGCAAGAUAUAAGGAGUGACAGGGUCAGAAGACUUCCCAAAGUCAAGACACAAGGGAUCCAGCUCUUCACUGACAUAUCACAGAAAUACGUUGUUUUGACACAUUUUUUUCCUCCAUAAAAUCUGUUCUGGCACUGUUUGUCUCCGUGUUAAUUUCCAAGUGCUUAGAAUAGUUAGGGGAGCUUUGUUCUAAUACCUCUCUAAAAGUUUUAAUUGUCUAAUACACCUGUACUUCACAAGCUAGUUGGAUUUUUAAUGAUAGGCAUCUUGGUAUCCCUUGUGAAAAUGACUAUCUCUGAACACCCUACAGUGACCUCAUUUCCUAU
rnacentral:lncRNA from 1 species